rnacentral:sRNA from 2 species
AAAUCGGCUCCGUUCUGGGGGAGUAGCCUCAAUGCGCCAACGCAUUGGCGCGUGUCAACAUACUUGGUUUUAACACCAUGGCACGCGCGGCCGUAAAGGUUUGGCAAGACUCAUGACAGGUUUGCACUUUCAGCAGGGGCUGCAGUGCAGAUCGGUCAUGGCGUUCUUCGCAGCCCCUU